GAUGAACGCUAGCGGCAGGCCUAAUACAUGCAAGUCGAGGGGCAGCACGGGUAGUAGCAAUACCGUUGCUGGCGACCGGCAAACGGGUGCGGAACACGUACACAACCUUCCUUUAAGUGGGGAAUAGCCCGGGGAAACCCGGAUUAAUACCUCGUAACAUAAUGAAGUGGCAUCACUUUAUUAUUAUAGCAGCAAUGCGCUUGAUGAUGGGUGUGCGCCUGAUUAGGUAGUUGGCGGGGUAACGGCCCACCAAGCCUUCGAUCAGUAACUGGUGUGAGAGCACGACCAGUCACACGGGCACUGAGACACGGGCCCGACUCCUACGGGAGGCAGCAGUAAGGAAUAUUGGUCAAUGGACGCAAGUCUGAACCAGCCAUGCCGCGUGGAGGAUGAAGGUCCUCUGGAUUGUAAACUUCUUUUAUCUGGGAAGAAAUCCAUAUUUUCUAAUGUGGUUGACGGUACCAGACGAAUAAGCACCGGCUAACUCCGUGCCAGC
rnacentral:rRNA from 1 species